rnacentral:rRNA from 1 species
AAUAAGCGGAGGAAAAGAAACUAACAAGGAUUCCCCUAGUAACGGCGAGUGAAGCGGGAAGAGCUCAAAUUUGAAAUCUGGCAGUCUUCGAUUGUCCGAGUUGUAAUCUAUAGAGGCGUUUUCCGUGCCGGACCGUGUCCAAGUCUCCUGGAAAGGAGUAUCAAAGAGGGUGAUAAUCCCGUACUUAACACGACCACCGGUGCUCUGUGAUACGUCUUCUACGAGUCGAGUUGUUUGGGAAUGCAGCUCAAAAUGGGUGGUGAAUUCCAUCUAAAGCUAAAUAUUGGCGAGAGACCGAUAGCGAACAAGUACCGUGAGGGAAAGAUGAAAAGCACUUUGGAAAGAGAGUUAAACAGUACGUGAAAUUGUUGAAAGGGAAACGAUUGAAGUCAGUCGUGUUCUUUGGAUUCAGCCAGUUCUGCUGGUCUACUUCCUUUGAACGGGUCAACAUCAGUUUUGUCCGGUGGAUAAAGGUAGUAGGAAUGUGACUUCCCCGGAAGUGUUAUAGCCUAUUAUCACAUACACUGGGUGAGACUGAGGACUGCAGCUCGCCUUUAUGGCCGACCUUCGGGUACGUUCGAGCUUAGGAUGUUGACAUAAUGGCUUUAAACGACCCGUCUU